rnacentral:lncRNA from 1 species
UUGAAGAUAUACAAGUACCACAAUUAUUUAUCGACACAAAUAAACAAAGCAUAUAACUUUUACAACAUAAAGUGAUCAAUAAAUUGCUAUUUGUUGCAAGCUUUGGAGAAAAAAAUAUGGCUGAAAUUAUUAAGUUUGCUUAUUUAAUUAUCUUCUUUAUUUCUUUGUUUCUUGCUGUAUCUAACGAUCUUAGUGGUAAAUCAUUUUUGCAUCCUUUUGAAUUUUCUUGUUUAUCUUAUACAAAAUAUUUCAUCCCUUAUAGUAACUUUUGUUUCUUAAUUUUAUAUCACAGCAUUGUGAAAAAUUGCAAAGAGGAUGCUAAUUGUCAAUACUAUUAUUGUCUACGUUCCAAAAUGCGUUUGUCGUACAUGUAAAUGUCUUCCUCCGAGAUCCUCAUUUAUUAGAAGAUGACUUUAGUGAUAAGAAAUUGAUAUCGUAACUUCAAGGAACGUACGUAGUUAAGUUACUUUGUGUAAGAUGUACAAUUGUAAAAUAACUAUUAAAACUCACUUUUAUAUUAAUAAUAAUAAAUUUCAUCUUUGUUUAAAAUAUGUUACCGUCAAAGAUAGUAAUGAUUAUACUAGCUAGCUAGUUAAUUGUAUUUGCUUAAUUCUAAGCCUAUAAUUUUAUGGGUUAUGUUAACUUGUGCCCUAAGGGCACAUGUUAAGCUACCUAAAAAUAGAAAUAUAGCAUUUAAUAAUAGAAAAAAUUUAAUGUUUAGAGAAUUAAAUACACCACAAGUUCAAUAAAUUUUUUCCACAUUUAUAUCCUUAUCAUGUGCCCUUAAGGGCACAAGUUAACAUUCUCCUAAUUUUAUUUACAUAUCAAAGCAUUGUUACUUUUGGAUUUUUCUCACUUGAAUACAUAUAAUGUUGUCUUUUGGACUUACUUUAUAGGCCUUGAAGGUAUUACUUAUAUGAAAAUGGUAUCAAUUUUGUUNNNNNNNNNNNNNNNAAACACUAGAAACUUUGCAUACAAACAAAAUUAUUAUAAAUACGUACGUGGUAACUAUCAUGAGUAUUUUUAUUGUAAAAAAAACAAACGAUCAUGAGUAUUUUUACCAUAUAUUUGUGUUAGUUUUUUUUUGAUAAUCUGUCCAUUUUCUAUUUUAAGGAUACGAUUAGUCAAUUGUACCCUUUGUCAAUUAUUCUUAUCUUUUUCAAUAAAACAAAUUAAUGCUAUAUAUUUGGAAAACUAAAGUUUUUUGUUUUUUUUUUGUACAUAACAUAUUAAAUUUUUGUUUUUUUUUUACAUAAUAUAUUAAAUUUAUUGGAAAGAGAAAAUAUGUGCACAAAAAAAAGUAUAAUAGGAAGAUAAGGAACAAAAAUCUACUUUCUUAAUUUAGUGUUACUAUUCAUAACAGGACACUUAAACGAAAACGGAGGGAGUAACUAAUUAGGGUCAAGAAAUAUGUAUUUUAUUAGUAUUGUGUCUUUUGAAUAUUUUCAAAGAGAUAAAAUGUUAGUGGUAACAAAUAACGUGAAACUCGUCCGGAUGCAUGAGUAUUUUGCAAGUUUUUAGAAAUCAUUUUUUUAUUAAAAAAAGCACAAUUUAACAAUUUUUUAUCAUGUUUUAUUAUUUUUACUUGAAUAUUUGCCCCUUUCUAUCAUAAAAGGGUAGAUUUUUUUUUAAAAAAAAAAAUGGAAAAACUUGGAAGAUUUCCCUUAUCAAUUGAGCUACUCUAAUUCUAUUUUCUUUUUUUGAAGAUAUAUAAGUACCACAAUUAUUCAUCGACACAAAUAAACAAAACAUAUAACUUUUACAACAUAAAGUGAUCAAUAAUUUGCUAUCUGUUGCAAGCUUUGGAGAAAAAAUAUGGCGGAAAUUAUUAAGUUUGCUUAUUUAAUGAUCUUUUUUAUUUCUUUGUUUCUUGUUGUAACUGAUGUUAAUGGUAAAUCACUUUUGUAUCCUUUUGAAUUUUCUUGUUUAUCUUCUACAAAAUAUGUCAUCCCUUGUGGUAAUUUUUGUUUCUUAUUUUUAUAUCACAGCAUUGUGGAAAAAAUGCAAAGACGAUGAUGGUUGUCGGUACUUUCGGUGUAUAUCUCCUUAUGUUCCAAAAUGUGUUUAUCGUACAUGUAAAUGUCUUCCUCUGAAGGAUGAGAAUCCUCUCUAUAUCAAUACCCUUAUCCCUCGCUGAUAUCUUUAGAGUCUUCUCCAGCUUCCACACAAUCAGAUCGUAAAUGUCAUUUUUUUUUUGCUUAGAUUAGGAUUUCCGACGGUCUUCACAGAGCUGGUUACUUUGGUGGGUUGCAGUUUGCUUAGUUUUGUGUGGAGUAGGUUCGAUUGAAAUCGUUUACUUUUAGCAUGGCAAGUGUGCUUAUAGUUGAGAGAUGGUUCUAUUCUGCUUCAAUUCUGAAAUGCUACGUCCGAAAUUUGGUGUUUGGGUAGGAGUUGGUGUUAGAAGGACGAUAAUGUGUCUUUAUUUGAAUUUCAAAUGAUGUUGUUUUUAUUUAGGUGAUUUCAAAUGCACAAUUUUUAUUUUAUUUAUCUUUUUAGUUUCUUAACUAGUGCCCCGAGAACACUAGUUAAGCAAGACCUUUGUAAAAUAACUACUACAUCCGUUAAAUAUAAGACUCUUUGAAAAAAUUACUGAGAUUAAGAAAGUUGAUUGUUCCAUGAAAUUUGUUGACGAUUGAUAUGAUUUUUACAAUUUUAUAUCCGUCAAGAGAAAUAAUAAAUUAUUGAUUUUUUAG